AUNGGAAUAGCUCAGUUGGUAGAGCAUAACCUUGCCAAGGUUGGGGUCGCGAGUUCGAGUCUCGUUUCCCGCUCCA
rnacentral:tRNA from 1 species